UACGGAGGGUGCGAGCGUUAAUCGGAAUUACUGGGCGUAAAGGGUGCGUAGGUGGUUUGAUAAGUUAGCUGUGAAAUCCCCGGGCUUAACCUGGGCAGGUCAGCUAAGACUGUUGAACUCGAGUAUAGGAGAGGGUAGUGGAAUUUCCGGUGUAGCGGUGAAAUGCGUAGAGAUCGGAAGGAACACCAGUGGCGAAGGCGGCUACCUGGCCAGAUACUGACACUGAGGCACGAAAGCGUGGGGAGCAAACAGG
rnacentral:rRNA from 1 species